rnacentral:rRNA from 1 species
CGUGCCAGCAGCCGCGGUAAUACGUAGGUGGCAAGCGUUAUCCGGAAUUAUUGGGCGUAAAGCGCGCGCAGGUGGUUUCUUAAGUCUGAUGUGAAAGCCCACGGCUCAACCGUGGAGGGUCAUUGGAAACUGGGAGACUUGAGUGCAGAAGAGGAAAGUGGAAUUCCAUGUGUAGCGGUGAAAUGCGUAGAGAUAUGGAGGAACACCAGUGGCGAAGGCGACUUUCUGGUCUGUAACUGACACUGAGGCGCGAAAGCGUGGGGAGCAAACAGGAUUAGAUACCCUGGUAGUCCACGCCGUAAACGAUGAGUGCUAAGUGUUAGAGGGUUUCCGCCCUUUAGUGCUGAAGUUAACGCAUUAAGCACUCCGCCCUGGGGGAGUACGGCCGCAGGCUGAACUCAAGGAUUGACGGGGGCCCGCACAGCGUGAGCAUGUGAUUUAUCGAGCACGCGAAAGAACCUUAACCAAGGUCCUUGUG